rnacentral:misc_RNA from 1 species
CUUGAUAUCCACUGUGGAAUUCGCCCUUUGGCUACGCGAGCGCAUGAGCUGUUUUGGACACAUGUAUGCUGGUAGGCCCCGCGUCUUCGUGCGGCCGACUACCGGUUCUGUGUCUUGUCAUUCGUGUGAGUUAUGUUACUGUUGCCUUUCAGGUGCUUGCAUGCUGUUACCCGACCUACGGGUAGUGGUGCUUCAUACAAAGUUGUCUCGCGGUGGACGCCUUUGGGUGUGCUACUGUGGCCAUAUGGUGCUUGCGGCGUUGCCUCGUGGUGCUGACAUGUUUUCGUGUCUGGUGCUAUCAAGGCAGCCUCGCUCCCGCCAUUGGUUUCGUAUGUUGCUCAUGAAAAAGGCUCGUGGUUGCAUCUACCUCUCAACAGUUAGUGGUGGGAUAUGCAACAUACUGUGCUGAUCCUCAUACAAGUAGGACAAGCUAGGCCCGCUCAAUUGCGACACACUGGAUGUAAAAAAGGACGAGCUACCUGGUUAAUCCUGCCAGUAGUCAUAUGCUUGUCUAAGGGCGAAUUCCACAUU